AACGAACGCUGGCGGCAUGCCUAACACAUGCAAGUCGAACGGACGGUAGCAAUACCGUUAGUGGCGGACGGGUGAGUAACGCGUGGGAACCUGCCUCGAAGUUCGGAAUAACCGCGGGAAACUGCGGCUAAUACCGGAUGUGGCCUGAGGGUCAAAGGCGCAAGUCGCUUCGAGAGGGGCCCGCGUCCGAUUAGCUAGUUGGUGGGGUAACGGCCUACCAAGGCGACGAUCGGUAGCUGGUCUGAGAGGAUGAUCAGCCACACUGGGACUGAGACACGGCCCAGACUCCUACGGGAGGCAGCAGUGGGGAAUAUUGGACAAUGGGGGAAACCCUGAUCCAGCAAUGCCGCGUGGGUGAUGAAGGCC
rnacentral:rRNA from 1 species